rnacentral:rRNA from 1 species
AUUGAACGCUGGCGGCAGGCUUAACACAUGCAAGUCGAGCGAGCGGCGGACGGGUGAGUAAGUUCUGGGAAACGGCCUGCUGGAGGGGGAUAACUACUGGAAACGGUAGCUAAUACCGCUUACAAUCAGAUGGGCCAAGAUGGGAUUAGCUAGUAGGUGGGGAAAUGGCUCACCUAGGCGACGAUCCCUAGCUGGUCUGAGAGGAUGACCAGCCACACUGGAACUGAGACACGGUCCAGACUCCUACGGGAGGCAGCAGUGGGGAAUAGUGCACAAUGGGCGCAAGCCUGAUGCAGCCAUGCCGCGUGUGUGAAGAAGGCCUUCGGGUUGUAAAGCACUUUCAGCGAGGAGGCGUUACUCGCAGAAGAAGCACCGGCUAACUCCGUGCCAGCAGCCGCGGUAAUAC